GUGGCUUUUCUGUCCAACGUGCUGUGCUGUGUGUGCCUGCAGGUCAUAUUUAUCUGCCUGUCAGGACUGUCGGAGCACUGGAUGGAGAGCAGGUCAUAUGAAGAGGAUUAGGGAGUAAAAGGCAGCUUGUACUGAAGUGCAGGGAAAGUAUAAAUAUUGAUAUAUAUUGGCACAGUGCCUGGCCUUAAUGCUUAAAAUCCUUUGGAGAGCUGUCUGCAUAUUUACUGUAUUAAUGAUCAAAUGCAAGGCUGUGUUGGGAAAGGUCUUCCAUUUGGAAGUCAGUAGUUGAGACUGUCUUGCCUAUGAAAAAGAGGGAGAAUUUUCGUUAGAGGAUGUAGGAUUCUGGCUGGUAAUAGUCUUAAUUCAAGGUAUUUUUAGAGAAUUGAUUUAAUACAAGCAGAACAAAUGGCCAGAAGUGUAAUGAGAGACAAGUUGAAAUUAGAAAGUAGAUGUGCAUUUUGAAUGUAUUGUCAUAGCAACUGAUUAAAUUCUCCCUCUCUUGCUGUUCUGGGGACCUUUUAAAUGUGCUUUGGCUAAAUAAAAAGUAUUAGACUAUUUCAGAGCCAAAAGGUCAGUUCUUGUUGUCUCUUUUGCACUUUAAUUCUAGUACACUGAUACUUGCUAACCACUUAUAACCCUAGAUGCAGAAUGAGAACUUGGGUUAUUAACAAUAAAGAAGUAAACAGCAGAAAGACUUGACCUUUCUUUUGAAUUGCCCUACAGUGUUAAAAAAUACCAAACAAACCUCCUUCCCCAAAGAAACACCCCCAAAAUACCCCAAGAACUCACCAAACAGAAAAUCACCGACAACCAAAAAGCAGAAGUAACAAACAUGAACAGCAAGUGGAGGAAGAGUUUGAAAGCGGGCUGGACAGAAGCAGAAGUGUUACUGCCCACUCUUAGGCCACUGUGCUGAUUAAAUGGGUGUUGUUAGGUUUAGAUCAGUAGUUCGUUGUUGUUGGGUUUUUCGGUGGUGUUGAUUUUUUUGUUGUCGUUGUGGGGGAUUGUUUGUUUGUUUGUUUUAUUUUGUUUUUUUUCUGUAUUAAAAAUCUGGCUCAGUUACUCUCUAGUUCUGGUGUGUUUUCUUUUCCAGGUGGUUGGUGUUUCUGCAGUGUUUGGCACAGGACUGGGGGAGAUUUUUACCCAGCUUUCUAAAGCUGUAGAUGAAUAGGAGAGACUGAAUGCACUCCCUUUAUUCACCUUUUCAGAGAGUAUCGUCCAGAAUACGAGCGCCUGAGAAAAA